CGAACCGAUAAGCUUUCAAAACUGGAUUACAAGAAAGCGAUCCCGAGAAAGACAAUUUGAAACGAUGGAUACCCAAAUCAAUUCAGUCAAAAUCAUCCACACAGAAGAAGAAGAAGAAGAAGAAGAAGAAGAAGCAGAUUGUACUUGGGGGUAGAAGACGUGGUACGGUGGGAGAAAUGGAACAAUCAAAGAUAUGGUUGUUAGAAGCAUGUUCUGCAAACCAUCAAAUCAAAGCCAUAAAUUGGCAUCCAAUUCUCCCUCUUCUCCAUGAAUUUGCAGUGCCAAGCUGGUGGUGUGUAGAGAAUUGGAUUCUCGUCCACCUCAUUGGGGAGUAAUUCUGUUAUGUUAAUGGUUCUUAAAGAUUAGAUUGUUCAAGAUGAGUGGGAUAAUUUUAAUUCAUUAGACCUCCUGAUGAUAUUGAGGCUUGAAUUGAGCAGACACUGUGAAUGAAGGUCAUUAUCAGGUGUGAGCUCGAUCUCCUAGAGAUUAAAAUUUGAAAGGGCCAAACAUGUAAGAUAGAUGGAAGUUUCUUUUUCUUCUUCUUUUUCAUUAAAAAAAAAGAAAAGGAAAGGAAAGUGAUGUGAUAUAUUAUGCAGCAAUUAUCAAUGAAGCCUCCAUAGCUGGUAUGCCUCUGUUUUUCCAAGCUUCAGCAGCCAUUCACUCUCUUUUCAAUGCCCCAAAUAUAGGAUCAUAUAGAAAAGGGAAAAAUUUUAGUCACUAUAUUCUUAUCCUUAUGAUAUUAUUAUUUGGGUUUAUAAUUGUCUUCAUAUUCUUAUCUUUAUAUGAAAUUAUUUGGCUU